UGUAGAUGGCAGUACAUUGAAGACUAUUUAAAUGAAGGCCGCUAGCUUUUUCUUCAAUCGUGGCUUCACUGGCAAUGAACACGAAUUAAGAAGGAUACCGUUGUAGAAAAGAAAAAGCUGUAAUAAUUCUAGCGUUUUACUGCUUCCAUAAUGUCAUUAGUUCUGUCCGUUUAAUCGCUCUCAGCAUGUUAAGCUUCCUCCACUUAUUCCUUAAGUAGUUUUAGGUUCCAGUAAAAAGCAAAGAUUGACAACGAAAAUCGAGUUUUUGUAGUAUCCUUCAGGCGGCUAAUUACUUAAGUUUCUGGAGAUGUGAACUUUGAUGUAUUAUUUUUCGCCAGGUGGCGCUAGGGUUUGCUGGCUUCUCUACGAAUUAAGACAUUUGUUCUUGGGAUACUGAACGAAGAUGUCCUUUACGGGACCCAAUUUCGAUCUGGAUAUCGAAGAACAUGUAAUUACGUAAUGCAGAGGUUGUCUGAUGUUAUCCACUUCAGACUUUGCUGUCAAUUGUCACUCACCACGCGGUCUGUUAAGUAGAUGUCACCUACUUUGUUCAGUACUUCUAAAGUAAAACAAGCUGCAUUUCAGCUGUGACUGGUGAAGAACCUGUCAACAUAAGGAAUAACCUGUACCAAUUCAACAAUCCAUGCUGUUGCUAUGAAACACUUGUCACAAAGAAUCACAUAAUUUUACUCCAAAGGUAAUUGGUGGGAACAUUGUGUAUGCGUUUCACCUAUAAGUUUCACUAGGAAAUCCAUAAGAAUUAAGCUAUAUGUGUUUGAUGUGGUUCCAUUUCCCGGUCAUGCACUAUUUCUUUAGUAGCAUUCUGUAUUGGUUGGGAACUGCUUUACAGCCCUUCUUCUAAUCUGAGAUGAAAUAGAUUAUUUACUGCUGUGUA
rnacentral:lncRNA from 1 species